GACGAACGCUGGCGGCGUGCCUAAUACAUGCAAGUCGAGCGGACUUUCAAGAAGCUUGCUUUUUGAAAGUUAGCGGCGGACGGGUGAGUAACACGUGGGCAACCUGCCUGCAAGACGGGGAUAACUCCGGGAAACCGGGGCUAAUACCGGAUAAUAUCUUCCUUCGCAUGAAGGAAGGUUGAAAGGCGGCGCAAGCUGCCGCUUGCAGAUGGGCCCGCGGCGCAUUAGCUAGUUGGGGAGGUAACGGCUCACCAAGGCGACGAUGCGUAGCCGACCUGAGAGGGUGAUCGGCCACACUGGGACUGAGACACGGCCCAGACUCCUACGGGAGGCAGCAGUAGGGAAUCUUCCGCAAUGGACGAAAGUCUGACGGAGCAACGCCGCGGGAGCGAAGAAGGUCUUCGGAUCGUAAAGCUCGGUUGUCAGGGAAGAACAAGUACCGUUCGAACAGGGCGGUACCUUGACGGUACCUGACCAGAAAGCCACGGCUAACUACGUG
rnacentral:rRNA from 1 species